rnacentral:rRNA from 1 species
UAGGGAAUCUUCGGCAAUGGACGAAAGUCUGACCGAGCAACGCCGCGUGAGUGAAGAAGGUUUUCGGAUCGUAAAACUCUGUUGUUAGAGAAGAACAAGGACGUUAGUAACUGAACGUCCCCUGACGGUAUCUAACCAGAAAGCCACGGCUAACUACGUGCCAGCAGCCGCGGUAAUACGUAGGUGGCAAGCGUUGUCCGGAUUUAUUGGGCGUAAAGCGAGCGCAGGCGGUUUCUUAAGUCUGAUGUGAAAGCCCCCGGCUCAACCGGGGAGGGUCAUUGGAAACUGGUAGACUUGAGUGCAGAAGAGGAGAGUGUAAUUCCAUGUGUAGCGGUGAAAUGCGUAGAUAUAUGGAGGAACACCAGUGGCGAAGGCGGCUCUCUGGUCUGUAACUGACGCUGAGGCUCGAAAGCGUGGGGAGCAAACAGG